UCCUGGGAUAGCUCAGCUGGUAGACCAUGAGACUCUUAAUCUCAGGGUUGUGGGUUUGAGCCCCACUUUGGGUGAA